rnacentral:rRNA from 1 species
UACGUAGGGUGCGAGCGUUAAUCGGAAUUACUGGGCGUAAAGCGUGCGCAGGCGGUGAUGUAAGACCGAUGUGAAAUCCCCGGGCUUAACCUGGGAACUGCAUUGGUGACUGCAUUGCUCGAGUAUGGCAGAGGGGGGUGGAAUUCCACGUGUAGCAGUGAAAUGACGUAGAGAUGUGGAGGAACGACCGAAUGGCGCAAGGCAGCCCCCUGGGCCAAUACUGACGCUCAUGCACGAAAGCGUGGGGAGCAAACAGG